rnacentral:rRNA from 1 species
UACGUAGGUGGCGAGCGUUGUCCGGAUUUACUGGGCGUAAAGAGCGCGCAGGCGGUCGUACAAGUCGCUUGUUAAAGCCCCCGGCUCAACUGGGGAGGGUCACGCGAUACUGUUCGACUCGAAGGCAGGAGAGGGUAGUGGAAUUCCCGGUGUAGUGGUGAAAUGCGUAGAUAUCGGGAGGAACACCAGUGGCGAAGGCGGCUUGCUGGGCAUGAUCUGACGCUGAGGCGCGAAAGCGUGGGGAGCAAACAGG